GACGAACGCUGGCGGCGUGCCUAAUACAUGCAAGUCGAGCGGAGUUAGAGAAGCUUGCUUCUCUAACUUAGCGGCGGACGGGUGAGUAACACGUGGGCAAUCUGCCCGUAAGACUGGGAUAACUCCGGGAAACCGGGGCUAAUACCGGAUAAUCCUGACUCUCUCCUGAGAGUCAGUUGAAAGAUGGUUUCGGCUAUCACUUACGGAUGAGCCCGCGGCGCAUUAGCUAGUUGGUAGGGUAAUGGCCUACCAAGGCGACGAUGCGUAGCCGACCUGAGAGGGUGAUCGGCCACACUGGGACUGAGACACGGCCCAGACUCCUACGGGAGGCAGCAGUAGGGAAUCUUCCGCAAUGGACGAAAGUCUGACGAAGCAACGCCGCGUGAGUGAAGAAGGUUUUCGGAUCGUAAAACUCUGUUGUUAGGGAAGAAUACGUACGAGAGUAACUGCUCGUACCUUGACGGUACCUAACCAGAAAGCCACGGCUAACUACGUG
rnacentral:rRNA from 1 species